rnacentral:rRNA from 1 species
UACGAAGGGGGCUAGCGUUGUUCGGAAUCACUGGGCGUAAAGGGCGCGUAGGCGGCCGCUCAAGUCGGGGGUGAAAGCCUGUGGCUUAACCACAGAAUUGCCUUCGAUACUGUUUGGCUUGAGACCGGAAGAGGUGAGUGGAACUGCGAGUGUAGAGGUGAAAUUCGUAGAUAUUCGCAAGAACACCAGUGGCGAAGGCGGCUCGCUGGUCCGGUUCUGACGCUGAGGCGCGAAAGCGUGGGGAGCAAACAGG